UACGUAGGGUGCAAGCGUUGUCCGGAAUUAUUGGGCGUAAAGAGCUCGUAGGCGGUUUGUCGCGUCUGCUGUGAAAACUCGGGGCUUAACCCCGGGCCUGCAGUGGGUACGGGCAGACUAGAGUGCUGUAGGGGAGACUGGAAUUCCUGGUGUAGCGGUGAAAUGCGCAGAUAUCAGGAGGAACACCGGUGGCGAAGGCGGGUCUCUGGGCAGUAACUGACGCUGAGGAGCGAAAGCGUGGGGAGCAAACAGG
rnacentral:rRNA from 1 species